rnacentral:rRNA from 1 species
UACGUAGGGGGCAAGCGUUGUCCGGAUUUAUUGGGCGUAAAGAGCGUGUAGGCGGUUGGGUAGGUCCGUUGUGAAAACUCGAGGCUCAACCUCGAGACGCCGAUGGAAACCAUCUGACUAGAGUCCGGAAGAGGAGAGUGGAAUUCCUGGUGUAGCGGUGAAAUGCGUAGAUAUUGGGAGGAACACCGGUGGCGAAGGCGGCCCUCUGGACCGGUACUGACGCUGAGGCGCGAAAGCUAGGGGAGCAAACGGG